UACGAAGGGGGCAAGCGUUGUUCGGAUUUAUUGGGCGUAAAGAGCUCGUAGGCGGUUCGGUAAGUUGGGUGUGACACCUCCAGGCUCAACCUGGAGACGCCACCCGAUACUGCUGUGACUAGAGUCCGGUAGGGGAGCGUGGAAUUCCUGGUGUAGCGGCGAAAUGCGCAGAUAUCAGGAGGGACACCAGCGGCGAAGGCGGCGCUCUGGGCCGGAACUGACGCUGAGGAGCGAAAGCGUGGGUAGUAAACAGG
rnacentral:rRNA from 1 species